rnacentral:tRNA from 1 species
UGGGGCGUGGCCAAGCGGUAAGGCAGCAGGUUUUGGUCCUGCGAUCCCAGGUUCGAAUCCUGGCGCCCCAACCA